rnacentral:lncRNA from 1 species
CUUUGAUACAAAUAAAUAUUAGUCAUCAUGUUUUAUAGAAACUUAUAUUGUUUUGACUUAUUUGUGAUGUUUUUGUUCAUUACUAAGAUGACUGGAACAAAGCUGGUGCCCACACAAACUAUAGGUAAGACUGUUAACUUAUAAAAAUCGGCUUCUGAUCUUCUGCAUGUUUGAACUAACCAUUGUACUUUGGGUGAUUAUGUGUACAGUGUUUGAUUGUAGUUAAGGAAAUACUUUGUCUUCACAGAUUUGUAGUUAAAAUGAUAGUUAAGGUGUAGAUAGAUAAGAUUUUUCCUGUCGAUGAAAGAUUUAGCAUAUUAUGAGCAAUUCUUCAAAAGUUUGACACCAGUUUCAGUGCAACGAAUUUCUAUAGUCUACAAGAAAAAUCGCAGCUGGAAGAGAGUUACAG